AAAGAACACAAUCUCCACCAGAGGAUAACUCACUCCCUCACCACCUGUGGGCCUUCAAGCAGCCAUCAGCAAAGAGUGCGUCAAAGCUCUACACCACAAAAAUAUAGGAACACAUAAGACUCCCUCACCCAUAACAGGCUAACCUAUCGAAAAUAGGAGCAUUAAUGCUAGAAUAAGUAACUAAGGAACUUCCUUCUAAAGCACAAACUUACAUCCCACAUUAUUAACAGGCCAACUAAUACCCCAACCACUACAAGAUCAAAUGUAUUCAACACAACUGUUAAACCAACUCAGGAGUGCAUAACUAGAAAGAUUCAAACCUGUAAAAGGAACUAGGCAAACCAAAGGCCCGACUGUUUACCAAAAACACAGCCUUCAGCAAACCAAGUAUUGAAGGUGACGCCUGCCCAGUGACACAAAGUUCAACGGCCGCGGUAUCCUAACCGUGCAAAGGUAGCGCAAUCAAUUGUCCCAUAAAUCGGGACUUGUAUGAAUGGCCAAACGAGGUCUUAACUGUCUCUUACAGGUAAUCAGUGAAAUUGAUCUUCCCGUGCAAAAGCGGGAAUAAGCCCAUAAGACGAGAAGACCCUGUGGAACUUAAAAACCAGCAGCCACUCCAAAUCAAACCAAAGCCCACUCGGCCUACUACCAAGGAAAGCUGGCCUGCAUUUUUCGGUUGGGGCGACCUUGGAGAAAAACACAACCUCCAAAAACAAGACCACCCCUCUUCACCAAGAUCCACCACUCAACGUACUAACAGUGACCAGACCCAGCACAGCUGAUCAAUGGACCAAGCUACCCCAGGGAUAACAGCGCAAUCCCCUUCAAGAGCCCAUAUCGACAAGGGGGUUUAC
rnacentral:rRNA from 1 species